AUAACCCGGCGAAAGUCGGACUAAUACCGUAUGUUGUCCCAUUGACGGCAUCCGAUUUGGACGAAAGGCUUGGCGGUGAGGGAUGGGGAUGCGUCCGAUUAGCCAGACGGCGGGGUAACGGCCCACCGUGGCGACGAUCGGUAGGGGUUCUGAGAGGAAGGUCCCCCACACUGGAACUGAGACACGGUCCAGACUCCUACGGGAGGCAGCAGUGAGGAAUAUUGGUCAAUGGGCGUAAGCCUGAACCAGCCAAGUAGCGUGCAGGACGACGGCCCUAUGGGUUGUAAACUGCUUUUAUGCGGGGAUAAAGUGGCCCACGUGUGGGUUUUUGCAGGUACCGCAUGAAUAAGGACCGGCUAAUUCCGUGCCAGCAGCCGCGGUAAUACGGAAGGUCCGGGCGUUAUCCGGAUUUAUUGGGUUUAAAGGGAGCGUAGGCCGCGCCUUAAGCGUGUUGUGAAAUCCGGGUGCUCAACAUCCGGCUUGCAGCGCGAACUGGGGCGCUUGAGUGCGCAGAAAGUAGGCGGAAUUCGUGGUGUAGCGGUGAAAUGCUUAGAUAUCACGAGGAACUCCGAUUGCGAAGGCAGCCUACUGUAGCGCUACUGACGCUGAUGCUCGAAAGCGUGGGUAUCGAACAGGAUUAGAUACCCUGGUAGUCCACGCGGUAAACGAUGGAUGCUCGUUGUCGGCCCUUUGGGUCGGUGACCAAGCGAAAGCGUUAAGCAUCCCACCUGGGGAGUACGCCGGCAACGGUGAAACUCAAAGGAAUUGACGGA
rnacentral:rRNA from 1 species